GACGAACGCUGGCGGCGUGCUUAACACAUGCAAGUCGAACGAUGAAGCUGGAGCUUGCUCCAGUGGAUUAGUGGCGAACGGGUGAGUAACACGUGAGCGAUCUGCCCUUGACUCUGGGAUAACUGCGGGAAACUGUAGCUAAUACCGGAUACGACUCCUUGGGGCAUCCCGGGGUGUGGGAAGAAUUUCGGUCAAGGAUGAGCUCGCGGCCUAUCAGCUUGUUGGUGAGGUAAAGGCUCACCAAGGCGACGACGGGUAGCCGGCCUGAGAGGGUGGCCGGCCACACUGGAACUGAGACACGGUCCAGACUCCUACGGGAGGCAGCAGUGGGGACUAUUGCACAAUGGGCGAAAGCCUGAUGCAGCAACGCCGCGUGAGGGAUGACGGCCUUCGGGUUGUAAACCUCUUUUAGCAGGGAAGAAGCGAAAGUGACGGUACCUGCAGAAAAAGCACCGGCUAACUACGUGCCAGCCGCCGCGGUAA
rnacentral:rRNA from 1 species